rnacentral:rRNA from 1 species
UACAGAGGGUGCGAGCGUUAAUCGGAAUUACUGGGCGUAAAGCGCGCGUAGGCGGCUUUGCAAGUCGGGUGUGAAAUCCCCAGGCUUAACCUGGGAACUGCAUUCGAGACUGCAUUGCUAGAGUAUGGGAGAGGGAAGUGGAAUUUCCGGUGUAGCGGUGAAAUGCGUAGAUAUCAGAAGGAACAUCAGUGGCGAAGGCGGCUUCCUGGACCAAUACUGACGAUCAGGUGCGAAAGCGUGGGGAGCAAACAGG